rnacentral:tRNA from 1 species
GGCCCUGUAGUGUAGCGGCCUAACACGCCGCCCUGUCAAGGCGGAGAUCGUGGGUUCGAAUCCCAUCGGGGCCG